rnacentral:rRNA from 1 species
ANAGUUUNAUCCUGNUCAGAUUAACGCUGCGGCAUNCNUACACAUGCAAGUCGAACGGCAGCACGGGGGCAACCCUGGUGGCGAGUGGCGAACGGGUGAGUAAUAUAUCGGAACGUACCCUGGAGUGGGGGAUAACGUAGCGAAAGUUACGCUAAUACCGCAUACGAUCUAAGGAUGAAAGUGGGGGAUCGCAAGACCUCAUGCUCCUGGAGCGGCCGAUAUCUGAUUAGCUAGUUGGUGGGGUAAAGGCCUACCAAGGCAUCGAUCAGUAGCUGGUCUGAGAGGACGACCAGCCACACUGGAACUGAGACACGGUCCAGACUCCUACGGGAGGCAGCAGUGGGGAAUUUUGGACAAUGGGCGCAAGCCUGAUCCAGCAAUGCCGCGUGAGUGAAGAAGGCCUUCGGGUUGUAAAGCUCUUUUGUCAGGGAAGAAACGGUGAGGGCUAAUAUCCCUUGCUAAUGACGGUACCUGAAGAAUAAGCACCGCUCGUUAGACUGCGUACC